UGCCAGCCGCCGCGGUAAUACGGAGGGUGCAAGCGUUAUCCGGAAUCACUGGGUUUAAAGCGCACGUAGGUGGCUUGGUAAGUCGGAUGUGAAAGCCCUGGGCUCAACCUGGGAAUUGCAUUCGAUACUGCUUAGCUAGAGUAUGAGAGAGGGUAGUGGAAUUCCGGGUGUAGCGGUGAAAUGCGUAGAUAUCCGGAGGAACAUCAGUGGCGAAGGCGGCUGCCUGGCUCAAUACUGACACUGAGGUGCGAAAGCGUGGGGAGCAAACAGGAUUAGAUA
rnacentral:rRNA from 1 species